rnacentral:rRNA from 1 species
AGUAACACGUGAGUAACCUGCCCUUGACUCUGGGAUAACUGCUAGAAAUGGUAGCUAAUACCGGAUACGACCCUCGGCCGCAUGGUCAGGGGGUGGAAAGAAUUUUGGUCAAGGAUGGACUCGCGGCCUAUCAGGUGGUUGGUGAGGUAAUGGCUCACCAAGCCUACGACGGGUAGCCGGCCUGAGAGGGUGACCGGCCACACUGGGACUGAGACACGGCCCAGACUCCUACGGGAGGCAGCAGUGGGGAAUAUUGCACAAUGGGCGAAAGCCUGAUGCAGCAACGCCGCGUGAGGGACGACGGCCUUCGGGUUGUAAACCUCUUUUAGUAGGGAAGAAGCGAAAGUGACGGUACCUGCAGAAAAAGCACCGGCUAACUACGUGCCAGCAGCCGCGGUAAUACGUAGGGUGCAAGCGUUGCCCGGAAUUAUUGGGCGUAAAGAGCUCGUAGGCGGUUUGUCGCGUCUGCUGUGAAAUCCGGAGGCUCAACCUCCGGCCUGCAGUGGGUACGGGCAGACUAGAGUGCGGUAGGGGAGAUUGGAAUUCCUGGUGUAGCGGUGGAAUGCGCAGAUAUCAGGAGGAACACCAAUGGCGAAGG